rnacentral:ncRNA from 2 species
UACGAAGGGGGCUAGCGUUGCUCGGAAUUACUGGGCGUAAAGGGCGCGUAGGCGGCGCCAGUAGUCAGGCGUGAAAUUCCUGGGCUCAACCUGGGGGCUGCGCUUGAUACGCUGGUGCUAGAGGACGGAAGAGGCUCGCGGAAUUCCCAGUGUAGAGGUGAAAUUCGUAGAUAUUGGGAAGAACACCGGUGGCGAAGGCGGCGAGCUGGUCCGUUACUGACGCUGAGGCGCGACAGCGUGGGGAGCAAACAGG